rnacentral:lncRNA from 1 species
AAUAAGGAGAGGUGGAUCCUCCACCCAGAAAGAUCAGAACUGGAGAGUCAUCUUUCUUAUUAGAGGGAGUUAAUUUCUUUGGCUUUUUUCCACUGGACUUGGACAUAGAUGGAGAGAGGGAGGAAGUCUGUGAGGCAGUCUCUCAGGGCAGGCCCCCUCCCUCUCACCCUUUCUUCAGGACAUUGACAGUAAGCUGACUGUUCACAGGAACACAGUGUCUCUGUGUCCACCAACCUGGUCAUAAGAAGACUGCUUGGGCUGGAAUCUAUCCUGUCCUUGGGCAUCACCCCAGCUGCCCUCUAUAGCUCCACAUGCUGGGAACUCUGAAGAUUUCUACAUCUAAAGCAAAGCUUGAGGAGAAACUCCAAUCAGAGAAGCUUCUGAAAAGUAAUUCCAGUGAAGAGAUUAAAACUUCGUGGAAGAUGAUCAAGAAGUGGGAGAUCAAGCUUGAUGAAAGUGAGACAGCUUCUGGCCGUAUGAAAAUAUGCAAAGGAAACAACACUCAACAAUGUGAUUUGGGACCACCAAGGAGCCUAGGGAAAUAUUUUAACGUCUGUGAAUUUGGGACUUCUCAAAGGUCUCCAGGCUAUGAAUAUGAUGUUUAUACAGUGCAAUGCUUACUUGCCACUCCCUAGUCACUAAACUAGUUGUGUGGAAAAAGAGAAGAAGGUGAAUUCUUCUUCCCAUAAGAAGAUCAGGCUCUGAGAUUUUAAUGCUUCAUCUCCUUACCAGUUAAUCUCAAUUCCUUCCCAUGAGGUCAGAGGAGUAAAUAUUCCUGUCUCCUGACUCCUGCCAAAAGUCCUCAAAAAUGCCAUAUCCUUGAAAAACAGUGAAAGACACAAAAGAGCCAAGUGAGGGCUCAUCAGCUUGGGAACUGGGAGGAUAAUUAAAAGUUGAGAUAGAAAGUUUUCACAAUGUUUAUCCCCUAGGGAACUUAGAGGAGAUUAGAGGAGCUGUGGAUGCAGAGAAGUAGCUGAGGAGGGAGAGGAGAGGAGAAGAAUGAGUAAAGGAACACACCAAGAGCAAGUAAUUGCCCUCUGGGGAUUCUUAGGUUCUGAAAAGUUAUCAUUUAAGACUGACAAAGUAAAAAACCUUCAUCCCCAGGAGGAGGAUGGACAAUUGCAUCAAGGAUUUGCUGAGAGAUGUGCUGCCUUCCAUCCAAAAUGAGUUCUGUGCAUGAGUUGAGC